rnacentral:rRNA from 1 species
AUUGAACGCUGGCGGCAGGCUUAACACAUGCAAGUCGAGCGGGGAAAAGUAGCUUGCUACUGGACCUAGCGGCGGACGGGUGAGUAAUGCUUAGGAAUCUGCCUAUUAGCGGGGGACAACAUCUCGAAAGGGAUGCUAAUACCGCAUACGUCCUACGGGAGAAAGCAGGGGACCUUCGGGCCUUGCGCUAAUAGAUGAGCCUAAGUCGGAUUAGCUAGGUGGUGGGGUAAAGGCCUACCAAGGCGACGAUCUGUAGCGGGUCUGAGAGGAUGAUCCGCCACACUGGGACUGAGACACGGCCCAGACUCCUACGGGAGGCAGCAGUGGGGAAUAUUGGACAAUGGGGGGAACCCUGAUCCAGCCAUGCCGCGUGUGUGAAGAAGGCCUUUUGGUUGUAAAGCACUUUAAGCGAGGAGGAGGCUACCGAGAUUAAUACUCUUGGAUAGUGGACGUUACUCGCAGAAUAAGCACCGGCUAACUCUGUGCCAGCAGCCGCGGUAAGAC